rnacentral:rRNA from 1 species
UGCGCGGAAGAUGUAACGGGGCUCAAGCCAGUUACCGAAGCUGCGGAUGCACAGCAAUGUGCGUGGUAGGAGAGCGUUCUGUAAGUCUGUGAAGGCAGCUUGAGAAGGCUGCUGGAGAUAUCAGAAGUGCGAAUGCUGACAUGAGUAGCGUUAAAGCGGGUGAAAAGCCCGCUCGCCGUAAGCGCAAGGUUUUCUAUGCAACGUUCAUCGGCGUAGAGUAAGUCGGCCCCUAAGGUAAGGCAGAGAUGCGUAGCUGAUGGGAAACAGGUUAAUAUUCCUGUACCGAUGUGCAGUGCGAUGUGGGGACGGAUCUUAAUAGGUUGUCCGGGUUUUGGAUAUCCCGGUUUAGAUGGAAGUAGGUGUGCAUCAGGCAAAUCCGGUGCAUAUGUGCCCAGGCCAUCGAUCGAGCAAGCUUGCUUGCGAAGCAACUGAACGAGGUUCCAGGAAAAGCCACUAAGCUUCAGCUGCACACGACCGUACCGCAAACCGACACUGGUGCGCGAGAUGAGUAUUCUAAGGCGCUUGAGAGAACUCAGGAGAAGGAACUCGGCAAAUUGACACCGUAACUUCGGGAGAAGGUGUGCCCUAGUAGUGUGAUGAGAGCAUCUGAGCAUGAAUGGGUUGCAAAAAAUAGGUGGCUGCGACUGUUUAUUAAAAACACAGCACUCUGCAAACACGAAAGUGGACGUAUAGGGUGUGACGCCUGCCCGGUGCUGGAAGGUUAAUUGAAGAUGUGAGAGCAUCGGAUCGAAGCCCCAGUAAACGGCGGCCGUAACUAUAACGGUCCUAAGGUAGCGAAAUUCCUUGUCGGGUAAGUUCCGACCUGCACGAAUGGCGUAACGAUGGCCACACUGUCUCCUCCUGAGACUCAGCGAAGUUGAAAUGUUUGUGAUGAUGCAAUCUCCCCGCGGAUAGACGGAAAGACCCCAUGAACCUUUACUGUAGCUUUGUAUUGGACUUUGAACAGAUCUGUGUAGGAUAGGUGGGAGGCUUUGAAGUGGCGACGCCAGUUGCUACGGAGCCGCUGUUGAAAUACCACCCUGGUGUGUUUGAGGUUCUAACCUUCGCCCUUGAAUCAGGGCGGGGAACAGUGCAUGGUAGGCAGUUUGACUGGGGCGGUCUCCUCCCAAAGCGUAACGGAGGAGUUCGAAGGUACGCUAGUUACGGUCGGACAUCGUGACGAUAGUGCAAUGGCGCAAGCGUGCUUAACUGCGAGACUGACAAGUCGAGCAGGUGCGAAAGCAGGACAUAG